AGCCUCUUUCUUGCCAAGCAGUAAGGAAGUGACGCACUUAAAGUGCAACGUCCAUCAUACGGAUAUCUAGUGGAUCGCCUUUGUGAUAUCGAGACCGUUUGUGUGUUCUCAUAAACCUGCUACACAAAAAAGAGAGAAAAAAUAGAACCACGGCCAAAUGUAUUAAGCUUGUUGAAUCAGAGCCGAUGACACGAAGCUUCAGUCCAGUGGCAAGAAAAUGUUGCUAUGGCACAAAACAUACAAAGCACCCGUCUGGA
rnacentral:lncRNA from 1 species